rnacentral:rRNA from 1 species
UACAGAGGGUGCUAGCGCUAAUCGGAUUUACUGGGCGUAAAGCGUGCGUAGGCGGUUUGUUAAGUCGGUUGUGGAAGCCCCGGGCUCAACCUGGGAAUUGCAGUCGAUACUGGCAGACUAGAGAACGGUAGAGGGAGGCGGAACUCCGGGUGUAGCGGUGAAAUGCGUAGAUAUCCGGAAGAACACCGAUGGCGAAGGCAACCUCCUGGGCCUGUUCUGACGCUGAGGCACGAAAGCGUGGG